UACGUAGGUGGCAAGCGUUAUCCGGAUUUAUUGGGCGUAAAGGGAACGCAGGCGGUCUUUUAAGUCUGAUGUGAAAGCCUUCGGCUUAACCGGAGUAGUGCAUUGGAAACUGGGAGACUUGAGUGCAGAAGAGGAGAGUGGAACUCCAUGUGUAGCGGUGAAAUGCGUAGAUAUAUGGAAGAACGCCAGCGGCGAAAGCGGCUCUCUGGUCUGUAACUGACGCUGAGGUUCGAAAGCGUGGGUAGCAAACAGG
rnacentral:rRNA from 1 species